rnacentral:rRNA from 1 species
GUUCAGGAUGAACGCUAGCUACAGGCUUAACACAUGCAAGUCGAGGGGCAGCAUGGUCUUAGCUUGCUAAGGCCGAUGGCGACCGGCGCACGGGUGAGUAACACGUAUCCAACCUGCCGUCUACUCUUGGACAGCCUUCUGAAAGGAAGAUUAAUACAAGAUGGCAUCAUGAGUCCGCAUGUUCACAUGAUUAAAGGUAUUCCGGUAGACGAUGGGGAUGCGUUCCAUUAGAUAGUAGGCGGGGUAACGGCCCACCUAGUCUUCGAUGGAUAGGGGUUCUGAGAGGAGGGUCCCCCACAUUGGAACUGAGACACGGUCCAAACUCCUACGGGAGGCAGCAGUGAGGAAUAUUGGUCAAUGGGCGAGAGCCUGAACCAGCCAAGUAGCGUGAAGGAUGACUGCCCUAUGGGUUGUAAACUUCUUUUAUAAAGGAAUAAAGUCGGGUAUGGAUACCCGUUUGCAUGUACUUUAUGAAUAAGGAUCGGCUAACUCCGUGCCAGCAGCCGCGGUAAUACGGAGGAUCCGAGCGUUAUCCGGAUUUAUUGGGUUUAAAGGGAGCGUAGAUGGAUGUUUAAGUCAGUUGUGAAAGUUUGCGGCUCAACCGUAAAAUUGCAGUUGAUACUGGAUAUCUUGAGUGCAGUUGAGGCAGGCGGAAUUCGUGGUGUAGCGGUGAAAUGCUUAGAUAUCACGAAGAACUCCGAUUGCGAAGGCAGCCUGCUAAGCUGCAACUGACAUUGAGGCUCGAAAGUGUGGGUAUCAAACAGGAUUAGAUACCCUGGUAGUCCACACGGUAAACGAUGAAUACUCGCUGUUUGCGAUAUACUGCAAGCGGCCAAGCGAAAGCGUUAAGUAUUCCACCUGGGGAGUACGCCGGCAACGGUGAAACUCAAAGGAAUUGACGGGGGCCCGCACAAGCGGAGGAACAUGUGGUUUAAUUCGAUGAUACGCGAGGAACCUUACCCGGGCUUAAAUUGCAGAUGAAUUACGGUGAAAGCCGUAAGCCGCAAGGCAUCUGUGAAGGUGCUGCAUGGUUGUCGUCAGCUCGUGCCGUGAGGUGUCGGCUUAAGUGUCAUAACGAGCGCAACCCUUGUUGUCAGUUACUAACAGGUUCCGCUGAGGACUCUGACAAGACUGCCAUCGUAAGAUGUGAGGAAGGUGGGGAUGACGUCAAAUCAGCACGGCCCUUACGUCCGGGGCUACACACGUGUUACAAUGGGGGGUACAGAGGGCCGCUACCACGCGAGUGGAUGCCAAUCCCCAAAACCUCUCUCAGUUCGGACUGGAGUCUGCAACCCGACUCCACGAAGCUGGAUUCGCUAGUAAUCGCGCAUCAGCCACGGCGCGGUGAAUACGUUCCCGGGCCUUGUACACACCGCCCGUCAAGCCAUGGGAGCCGGGGGUACCUGAAGUGCGUAACCGCGAGGAGCGCCCUAGGGUAAAAC